rnacentral:lncRNA from 1 species
AUCAGAGGAUCUCAGAAGCCGAGUCAGGAGAUACCUGUGGGAUGUGAGACAUGACAGAGCAAGGGCUUCUCCAGCCUGCUUCUCAUCACCACAGAUGGGGGAUAAGCCACAUUGCUUCUACCUCCACAUCAGCCAUACAACCCACAGAGAUCCUGCAUCUUUGAUGCCUUCCUUAAGGAGAGAAAACUCAUGGAUCAUUUCCUCACUGAUCCCUGCACUGUGGAAUAAUGGAUGACAAUCUUCCAGAGUAAACCAGAACAACAAAGGCCUAGGAGAUGAAGCUGGGACCCAAAGGAACCCUUUCUCACUCAGUAGUGGAUAGAGAGGCAAUGGAGGUGAAAACACCCAGCUGGGCCCCGAAACUCAGAGGUUCCUGCCGCCAGGCCUAUGCCCAUCCUGUGUCUCUUGCCCACCCUUUAGGCUCAGCUCAGUCCAGAGCCUACAGAGAUCUCUAGUUUCUUUUGCUUGAAAACAAACCAUUUCCACUGCUGGCCACCCAGGAUCCUCUCUCUCUCUCUCUCUCUCUCUCUCUCUCUCUCUCUCUCUCUCUCUCUCUCUCUCCAGGGAAACCAGUUUUUAAACCUUACCUUCCUAGGAACAACAUGAAUGCAAACCAACAAUAAAUGUGUCUGGGGUAGAGUCCACCUUGAACUCACCUCUACCUGGCCUGGUCAGAGCCCCACCCUACAUUCCCUAUGAUCAGAGCUCUGUGGUAACGAUUUGACUGCAAAGCCAAUCUCCUCUGCAGAUAGCAGCAGGGACUAGCAGAGUCCUUGCUACCUUCUCCUGCCCUCAUCCAUCUGGGAGAUUUGUUCUUGCUCUGCUGGAGUUAGAACCCACAUGUAACAUCUAGAGAAGUGGUAUGCUUAGCGUAAGAAUAUUUCAGGACUGGAAUAAUGGAGGAUGGUUUUCAUGGUUUGAAUAAGAAUGACCUUCAUUUGCCAGAUGAUGGUGUACACACCGUUAAUCCCAGCACUUGGGAGGCAGAGGCAGGUGGAUCUCAGAAUUCGAGGCCAGCCUGGUCUACAGAGUGAGUUUCAGAGCAGUCAGGACUACACAGAGAAACCCUGUCUCGGGAGGGUGGGGAGUGGGGGAGAGAUAGGACAGAAAUUGAUGAAAGUACAAGAAACAUUACCGAAAAAUAAAAAAAUAAAAAAUAAAUAG